rnacentral:rRNA from 1 species
UACAGGGGGGGCAAGCGUUGUUCGGAAUUACUGGGCGUAAAGGGUUCGUAGGUGGCUUACUAAGUCAGACGUGAAAUCCCUCAGCUUAACUGGGGAACUGCGUCUGAUACUGGAAAGCUUGAGUGCAGGAGAGGAACGCGGAAUUCCAGGUGUAGCGGUGAAAUGCGUAGAUAUCUGGAGGAACUCCGGUGGCGAAGGCGGCAUACUGGUCCACUUCUGACGCUGAGGCGCGAAAGCCAGGGGAGCAAACGGG